rnacentral:rRNA from 1 species
UACGAAGGGGGCUAGCGUUGUUCGGAAUUACUGGGCGUAAAGCGCGCGCAGGCGGCUAUCCAAGUCAGUGGUGAAAGCCCGGAGCUCAACUCCGGAACUGCCGUUGAAACUGUUUAGCUUGAGGAUGAGAGAGGUGAGUGGAAUUCCCAGUGUAGAGGUGAAAUUCGUAGAUAUUGGGAAGAACACCGGUGGCGAAGGCGGCUCACUGGCUCAUUACUGACGGUCAGGCGCGAUAGCGUGGGGAUCAAACAGG